rnacentral:misc_RNA from 1 species
UAUUAGGUACGCGUUCUUGUGGAUUAUGUUUGAUUUGACCAUAUUUGACCAAUAAACUAGAAUCAUAGUUACUUGCUGAACUUAAAGGGGAUUCAUUAUCGGUGUGCAAUAGUGUAAUGGUGACAGCUCACAAAUUGUAGCACGGUCUUCCCAAGGGUUUCCUUCCCACUGUAAUUUUUCUGUGAAGAGUGGUGAACGGCAACGCAACAAGAACACAAAUGGCCUCGGCAGCAAUGACACCAGCUGAAGAUGAUGAGCUGACUUUACCUCGUGCU